UACGGAGGGUGCAAGCGUUGCUCGGAAUUAUUGGGCGUAAAGGGCAGGUAGGUGGUCUCAUUUGUCUGGGGUGAAAUCCUUGGGCUUAACUCAAGAAGUGCCCCAGAAACGGUGAGACUAGAGUCCUAGAGAGGGUCGUGGAAUACCCGGUGUAGCGGUGAAAUGCGUAGAGAUCGGGUGGAACACCAGAGGCGAAGGCGGCGACCUGGAUAGGUACUGACACUCAACUGCGAAAGCGUGGGGAGCAAACAGG
rnacentral:rRNA from 1 species